rnacentral:lncRNA from 1 species
AAAAAGGAAAACCCCACUUUUGCCGAAUUUUAAAUUAAUUUGUUUGAUCAAAUUUUAUACUUCUGCAAUUUGAAUUUAAAUCCAGUUAGUCGAUUUGCGAGCCUCGAUUUAACUGAGUUAAUUUCUUUAGAGGGAUUUUUCCUGAGUUAAUUAAGCCAAUUGUUAUUUACGAAUUCCUUUUUACGAUUUAAGGCUUAGGACAAAACUCCGGGUG